UUCGUCUGUUGUUUGUUGUCCCCUGGGCCCCUGCACCCACGGCCUCUUCUGGAUUUCUCCUCCGGAUCCAAAGGGCUUGUUUAGGUGCAGUAUUCUACCUACUUUUUAAAUCUCGUGCCUUAAACGAUCUACCUGUUGUUUUUCUCGCUUUGUGUUCGCUAACAUGGAUAUCUUGGAGAAGCUCAGUAUUCUCGCCGCAAAACCUGGUCUCAACGGGACGAUUUCUACCCCAACUAAUCAACAAACCAAACUUGGGGAUAUGCAAACCCAAACUCAACAGCAGCAUCAUUCUGGUGAAGCUGGCCCUGCCCAC
rnacentral:sRNA from 1 species